GCGCGUGUAGCUCAGUUGGUUAGAGCACGGCUCUUAUAAAGCCGGGGUCGAUGGUUCGAGUCCAUCCACGCGCACCA
rnacentral:tRNA from 2 species